rnacentral:rRNA from 1 species
AGUGAACGCUGGCGGUAGGCCUAACACAUGCAAGUCGAACGGCAGCACAGUAAGAGCUUGCUCUUACGGGUGGCGAGUGGCGGACGGGUGAGGAAUACAUCGGCAUCUACUUUUUCGUGGGGGAUAACGUAGGGAAACUUACGCUAAUACCGCAUACGACCUACGGGUGAAAGCAGGGGAUCUUCGGACCUUGCGCGAUUGAAUGAGCCGAUGUCGGAUUAGCUAGUUGGCGGGGUAAAGGCCCACCAAGGCGACGAUCCGUAGCUGGUCUGAGAGGAUGAUCAGCCUCACUGGAACUGAGACACGGUCCAGACUCCUACGGGAGGCAGCAGUGGGGAAUAUUGGACAAUGGGCGCAAGCCUGAUCCAGCCAUACCGCGUGGGUGAAGAAGGCCUUCGGGUUGUAAAGCCCUUUUGUUGGGAAAGAAAAGCAGCAGGUUAAUACCCCGCUGUUCUGACGGUACCCAAAGAAUAAGCACCGGCUAACCUCGU